GGCCCCUUCUUCUAUCGGUUAGGAAACAGGGCUUUCAUCCCUGGAAGACGAGUUCGACUCUCGUAGGGGUCA
rnacentral:tRNA from 2 species